rnacentral:rRNA from 1 species
UUGGUUAAGUUAGAAAGGGCGCACGGUGGAUGCCUUGGCACUAGGAGCCGAAGAAGGACGGGACUAACACCGAUAUGCUUUGGGGAGCUGUACGUAAGCGUUGAUCCAGAGAUUUCCGAAUGGGGGAACCCACUAUCUUUAGUCGGAUAGUAUCCUUACGUGAAUACAUAGCGUGAGGAAGGCAGACCCAGGGAACUGAAACAUCUAAGUACCUGGAGGAAGAGAAAGAAAAAUCGAUUUCCUGAGUAGCGGCGAGCGAAACGGAAAGAGCCCAAACCAAGAAGCUUGCUUCUUGGGGUUGUAGGACACUCUAUACGGAGUUACAAAAGAAAGUUAUAAAUGAAGCGGUCUGGAAAGGCCCGCCAAAGACGGUAACAGCCCGGUAGUUGAAAUGGCUUUCCCUCCAGAGUGGAUCCUGAGUACGGCGGAACACGUGAAAUUCCGUCGGAAUCCGGGAGGACCAUCUCCCAAGGCUAAAUACUCCCUAGUGACCGAUAGUGAACCAGUACCGUGAGGGAAAGGUGAAAAGCACCCCGGAAGGGGAGUGAAACAGUUCCUGAAACCGUGUGCCUACAAGUAGUUAGAGCCCGUUAAUGGGUGAUAGCGUGCCUUUUGUAGAAUGAACCGGCGAGUUACGAUUUGUUGCAAGGUUAAGCGGAAAAAGCGGAGCCGUAGCGAAAGCGAGUCUGAAUAGGGCGCAUAAGUAACAGGUCGUAGACCCGAAACCAGGUGAUCUACCCAUGUCCAGGAUGAAGGUAAGGUAAUACUUACUGGAGGUCCGAACCCACGCACGUUGAAAAGUGCGGGGAUGAGGUGUGGGUAGCGGAGAAAUUCCAAUCGAACUUGGAGAUAGCUGGUUCUCUCCGAAAUAGCUUUAGGGCUAGCCUCGAGGUAAAGAGUCAUGGAGGUAGAGCACUGUUUGGACUAGGGGCCCUUCUCGGGUUACCGAAUUCAGAUAAACUCCGAAUGCCAUGUACUUAUACUCGGGAGUCAGACUGCGAGUGAUAAGAUCCGUAGUCGAAAGGGAAACAGCCCAGACCACCAGUUAAGGUCCCCAAAUAUAUGUUAAGUGGAAAAGGAUGUGGGGUUGCUUAGACAACCAGGAUGUUGGCUUAGAAGCAGCCACCAUUGAAAGAGUGCGUAAUAGCUCACUGGUCGAGUGACCCCGCGCCGAAAAUGUACCGGGGCUAAACAUAUUACCGAAACUGUGGAUGAACCUCUUUAGAGGUUCGUGGUAGGAGAGCGUUCUAAGGGCGGUGAAGUCAGACCGGAAGGAC